rnacentral:snRNA from 1 species
GUACUUUCUUUGGCAGCACAUAUCCUAAAAUUGGACUGAUGCAGAGGAGAUUAGCCUGACCCUGUGGAAAGAUGACACACACAUUCAUGAAGCAUUCCAUAUUUUU